UCCUCCGUGGCGCAAUUGGCUAGCGCGUCUGACUGUUAAACAAUUCUCUGUGAGAUGCUUGGUAAUCAGGAGGUUCGUGGUUCGAGCCCACGCGGGGGAG